rnacentral:rRNA from 1 species
UUAGAGUUUGAUCAUGGCUCAGGACGAACGCUGGCGGCGUGCUUAACACAUGCAAGUCGACGGAAAGGCUUCUAGCUUGCUAGAGGUACUCGAGUGGCGAACGGGUGAGUAACACGUGGUGAUCUGCCCCUAACUUCGGGAUAAGCUUGGGAAACUGGGUCUAAUACCGGAUAGGACCAGCUUUAGUGUGUGUGGUGGAAAGUUUUUUCGGUUAGGGAUGAGCCCGCGGCCUAUCAGCUGUUGGUGGGGUAAUGGCCUACCAAGGCGUCGACGGGUAGCCGGCCUGAGAGGGUGUACGGCACAUUGGGACUGAGAUACGGCCCAGACUCCUACGGGAGGCAGCAGUGGGGAAUAUUGCAAAUGGGCGGAAGCCUGAUGCAGCGACGCCGCGUGGGGGAUGACGGCCUUCGGGUUGUAAAUCCUUUCGCCAGGGACGAAGCGUUAUGUGACGGUACCUGGAUAAGAAGCACCGGCUAACUCGUGCCAGCAGCCGCGGUAAUACGUAGGGUGCGAGCGUUGUCCGGAAUUACUGGGCGUAAGAGCUCGUAGGUGGUUUGUCGCGUCGUCUGUGAAAUUCCGGGGCUUAACUCCGGGCGUGCGGCGAUACGGGCAUAACUUGAGUGCUGUAGGGGAGACUGGAAUUCCUGGUGUAGCGGUGAAUGCGCAGAUAUCAGGAGGAACACCGAUGGCGAAGGCAGGUCUCUGGGCAGUAACUGACGUGAGGAGCGAAAGCAUGGGUAGCGAACAGGAUUAGAUACCCUGGUAGUCCAUGCCGUAAAGGUGGGCGCUAGGUGUAGGGGGCUUCCACGUCUUCUGUGCCGUAGCUAACGCAUUAAGCGCCCGCCUGGGGA